AUUGGCAGCCCCUCAUAUAGAUGUCUGUUUUUUAAGGUCUCUGUUGGUGUUAUGGUUAUGAUAAUAGCUCCCCCUGGUCCCACACAAGCUGGAUGGAAUAUUCUCCAUAUCACUUCCACAUGUAAUCUACUCAGAUUUCCGCUCACUGAGUGCAAAGGCCAAAUGGGUCAGUUUGAGACCACAGAAAUCUGUUUGGAAAGUUGUAUCAGACCAGAGGACAAUUUUACAGGAAGAGAGCUUUCAUACCACCACCAAUGCUGAGAAUUCCCUCUUCACAAUGCAUGAAUUGCACCUCUAUCUCUGGAUUUUUUUGUGAUAUUUCCUUUGUGGCGUCAAAAUGAUGUCUCACAGUUUUUCUUAUUUCAUUUUCAUGUGUUGCUGUAAGGUGAGGUGAUAUGAAAUGUCUAAAUUUGCCUUAUCACCUUAUGAUAAAAAAAAAAAAAUCCAUCAGAAAGUUUCUAUAUCCACAAUCAGAUAGAAUCAUGCAGUGCCAUCAAUAAGAUUUUGAGUAAUCCUGCGUGACAAAAAUAAAUAAAUUAAUACAUACAAAAAUAAAAUACACAAACGAAUCAUCCGUAAUGAUGGAAAUAACUGUAACUCUUUUUAAAACAAGCUUGCUUCAGUGGUGAUCUCCUGCUGUCACAGCUGCGAUGGCAGGCUGUGUGGAGUGUGGAAAUUAGGACCCAAGAUGCAGGCACAGCCUCUGAUGUGAGUGAGCAUUAUUUUGACAGUGACGGUACAAAUAGCAGUGAUGAUGGCAAGUGCAGAACCUAAACUGGAAAAAACUAACAAAAGCAAACUUGAACCCUUUAAAUGGCAACACAUGGAGACAGGGCAAAACACAAACAAACCAUCAAAAAGCAGGUAAAAACACAGGGCUUAUAUACACACAGAAACAAUCAGGGAAUGAGAAAAAGGAGGGAGAAACAGCUGGGGUAAUUAGACAAGAGCACAGAGAACACUAGACACUGGGAAUAACCACAAACAACCCAAAAUAAACAAAACCACAGAAUAUUAAUCAACUUAAAACAUAAACACGGAAUCCACAGACUCCAGACCGUGACAUCUGCGUUAGCUCUAAGGCUGACUUUCCCCAC
ensembl:lncRNA